UUGUUACAUGUUAACCGGAGAGAGAGCCAAGUGACACGAAAUAGGUACUAAACUUGUUACAUGUUAACCGGAGAGAGAGCCAAGUGACACGAAAUAGGUACUAAACUUGUUACAUGUUAACCGGAGAGAGAGCCAAGUGACACGAAAUAGGUACUAAACUUGUUACAUGUUAACUAGAGAGAGAGCCAAGUGACACGAAAUAGGUACUAAACUUGUUACGUGUUAACCGGAGAGAGAGCCAAGUUACACGAAAUAGGUACUAAACUUGUUACGUGUUAACCGGAGAGAGAGCCAAGUUACACGAAAUAGGUACUAAACUUGUUACAUGUUAACCGGAGAGAGAGCCAAGUGACACGAAAUAGGUACUAAACUUGUUACGUGUUAACAGGAGAGAGAGCCAAGUGACACGAAAUAGGUACUAAACUUGUUACCUGUUAACAGGAGAGAGAGCCAAGUGACACGAAAUAGGUACUAAACUUGUUACGUGUUAACAGGAGAGAGAGCCAAGUGACACGAAAUAGGUACUAAACUUGUUACGUGUUAACCGGAGAGAGAGCCAAGUGACACGAAAUAGGUACUAAACUUGUUACCUGUUAACAGGAGAGAGAGCCAAGUGACACGAAAUAGGUACUAAACUUGUUACGUGUUAACAGGAGAGAGAGCCAAGUGACACGAAAUAGGUACUAAACUUGUUACGUGUUAACCGGAGAGAGAGCCAAGUGACACGAAAUAGGUACUAAACUUGUUACGUGUUAACUGGAGAGAGCCAAGUUACACGAAAUAGGUACUAAACUUGUUACGUGUUAACCGGAGAGAGCCAAGUUACACGAAAUAGGUACUAAACUUGUUACGUGUUAACCGGAGAGAGAGCCAAGUGACACGAAAUAGGUACUAAACUUGUUACGUGUUAACAGGAGAGAGAGCCAAGUGACACGAAAUAGGUACUAAACUUGUUACGUGUUAACAGGAGAGAGAGCCAAGUGACACGAAAUAGGUACUAAACUUGUUACGUGUUAACAGGAGAGAGAGCCAAGUGACACGAAAUAGGUACUAAACUUGUUACGUGUUAACCGGAGAGAGAGCCAAGUGACACGAAAUAGGUACUAAACUUGUUACGUGUUAACCGGAGAGAGAGCCAAGUGACACGAAAUAGGUACUAAACUUGUUACGUGUUAACCGGAGAGAGAGCCAAGUGACACGAAAUAGGUACUAAACUUGUUACGUGUUAACCGGAGAGAGAGCCAAGUGACACGAAAUAGGUACUAAACUUGUUACGUGUUAACCGGAGAGAGAGCCAAGUGACACGAAAUAGGUACUAAACUUGUUACGUGUUAACCGGAGAGAGAGCCAAGUGACACGAAAUAGGUACUAAACUUGUUACGUGUUAACCGGAGAGAGA